rnacentral:rRNA from 1 species
UACGGAGGGUGCGAGCGUUGUCCGGAAUCACUGGGCGUAAAGGGCGCGUAGGCGGCCGGAGAAGUCGGUGGUGAAAGCUCGGGGCUCAACUCCGAGUCGGCCACCGAUACUGUUCGGCUCGAGUUUGGUAGAGGCAGGUGGAAUUCCCGGUGUAGCGGUGGAAUGCGUAGAGAUCGGGAAGAACAUCAGUGGCGAAGGCGGCCUGCUGGGCUGUUGCUGACGCUGAGGCGCGACAGCGUGGGGGAGCAAACAGGG